AUACGUAGGGAGCGAGCGUUAUCCGGAUUUAUUGGGUUUAAAGGGUGCGCAGGCGGCCAUUUAAGUCAGCGGUUAAAUCGUGGGGCUCAACCCCAUUCUGCCGUUGAUACUGGGUGGCUUGAUUGCGGUCGAGGUUGGCGGAAUUCGUUGUGUAGCGGUGAAAUGCAUAGAUAUGACGAAGAACACCGAUUGCGUAGGCAGCUGACCAGACCGCAAAUGACGCUCAUGCACGAAAGUGCGGGGAUCGAACAGGAUUAGAUACCCUGGUAGUCCGCACAGUAAACGAUGAAUACUUGUUUUCGGCGAUAUAAUGUCGGAGGCAAAGCGAAAGCGAUAAGUAUUCCACCUGGGGAGUACGCCGGCAACGGUGAAACUUAAAGGAAUUGGCGGGG
rnacentral:rRNA from 1 species